AUUGAACGCUAGCGGCAGGCUUUACACAUGCAAGUCGAACGAGUGGCGGACGGGUGAGUAAUGUCUGGGAAACUGCCCGGUGGCGGGGGAUAACUACUGGAAACCGUAGCUAAUACCGCAUACCAUUGGAUGGGACCAUAUGGGAUUAGCUAUUUGGUGGGGUAAAGGCUCACCCAGGCGACGAUCCCUAGCUGGUCUGAGAGGAUGACCAUCCACACUGGAACGGAGACAGGGGACAGACUCCUACGGGCGGUAGCAGUGGGGAAUAUUGCACAGUGGGCGAAAGCCUGAUGCAGCCAUGCGGCGUGUGUGAAGAAGGCCUUCGGGUUGUAAAGCACUUUCAGCGAGGAGGCGUGACUCGCAGAAGAAGCACCGGCGAACUCCGGGCCAGCAGCGGCGGUAAUAC
rnacentral:rRNA from 1 species